GUCUAGUAUAAGCAAUUAUACAGCGAAACUGCGAAUGGCUCAUUAUAUAAGUUAUCGUUUAUUUGAUAGUACCUUACUACUUGGAUAACCGUGGUAAUUCUAGAGCUAAUACAUGCUAAAAAUCCCGACUUCGGAAGGGAUGUAUUUAUUAGAUUAAAAACCAAUGCCCUUCGGGGCUCCUUGGUGAUUCAUGAUAACUCCUCGAAUCGCAUGGCCUUGUGCCGGCGAUGGUUCAUUCAAAUUUCUUCCCUAUCAACUUUCGAUGUUUGGGUAUUGGCCAAACAUGGUUGCAACGGGUAACGGAGGGUUAGGGCUCGACCCCGGAGAAGGAGCCUGAGAAACGGCUACUACAUCCAAGGAAGGCAGCAGGCGCGCAAAUUACCCAAUCCCGACACGGGGAGGUAGUGACAAUAAAUACUGAUACAGGGCUCUUUCGGGUCUUGUAAUUGGAAUGAGUACAAUUUAAAUCCCUUAACGAGGAACAAUUGGAGGGCAAGUCUGGUGCCAGCAGCCGCGGUAAUUCCAGCUCCAAUAGCGUAUAUUAAAGUUGUUGUGGUUAAAAAGCUCGUAGUUGAACCUUGGGCCUGGCUGGCCGGUCCGCCUCACCGCGUGUACUGGUCCGGCCGGGCCUUUCCCUCUGUGGAACCUCAUGCCCUUCACUGGGUGUGGCGGGGAAACAGGACUUUUACUUUGAAAAAAUUAGAGUGCUCCAGGCAGGCCUAUGCUCGAAUACAUUAGCAUGGAAUAAUAGAAUAGGACGUGUGGUUCUAUUUUGUUGGUUUCUAGGACCGCCGUAAUGAUUAAUAGGGACAGUCGGGGGCAUCAGUAUUCAAUUGUCAGAGGUGAAAUUCUUGGAUUUAUUGAAGACUAACUACUGCGAAAGCAUUUGCCAAGGAUGUUUUCAUUAAUCAGGAACGAAAGUUAGGGGAUCGAAGACGAUCAGAUACCGUCGUAGUCUUAACCAUAAACUAUGCCGACUAGGGAUCGGACGAUGUUAUUUUUUGACUCGUUCGGCACCUUACAAGAAAUCAAAGUGCUUGGGCUCCCGGGGGAAUUAGGUCCCAAGGUUAAACUAAAAUUAAGUGAAGA
rnacentral:rRNA from 1 species